rnacentral:lncRNA from 1 species
AAUUUUUCAAACAAGUUUUUCUUGCUUUAUAUUUUGAUCUUUUUAUCCGGUUGGUAUUUUAUGUAUGCUGUUGUUGGACAAGGGAGAGAGAAAAUUAUCGAGUUACUGAACUUGUAUCUAUUAUUCCUGGUCAUCAGUAUUGAUAUUGAGGGUGAAAACGGUGAGGGGGAGAGAGAGCAGUUGCUGGUGCUGCUCAGUAGUCUGCACCAGGAAAGGCUAAGGUGGAGCAUUUUGUGACAAGACUUAGUUGCAAUAUCAGAGGCUGAUAGAUGAUUUAAGUACAUUCUUUUAUGUUGGAAAUGUAUUGGAUUCAAAUCCCUUCUUACAUUUUUAAGGGGAUAUAUAAAUCUUACUUUUUGUUCCUUAAAUAAAAUAAUUUAACUUUC